GUACCGACCCCCGUCUCCGCGUAUAAAGAAGCAUCGUCUCGGCUGGCGGGCGAAGUGCAUAUCUCGAACGUUAUGUCGCUCGGCAAAUUGCAGGGCAGGUUGUAUGUAUAUUAUAAGCCGUGAAAGAAAUCGCGGUUUCCAUAUUAUCACCCCCGUCAGCAGCCUUUCCGUCGGCUCUGCU